rnacentral:rRNA from 1 species
UCCAGACUCCUACGGGAGGCAGCAGUGGGGGAUAUUGCACAAUGGGGGGAACCCUGAUGCAGCGACGCCGCGUGGGUGAAGGAGCGUUUCGGCGCGUAAAGCCCUAUCGGCAGGGAAGAAGGAGGACGGUACCUGACUAAGAAGCCCCGGCUAACUACGUGCCAGCAGCCGCGGUAAUACGUAGGGGGCAAGCGUUAUCCGGAUUUACUGGGUGUAAAGGGGGCGCAGACGGCGAUGCAAGCCAGGAGUGAAAGCCCGGGGCCCAACCCUGGGACUGCUCUUGGAACUGCGUGGCUGGAGUGCAGGAGGGGCAGGCGGAAUUCCUGGUGUAGCGGUGAAAUGCGUAGAUAUCAGGAGGAACACCGGUGGCGAAGGCGGCCUGCUGGACUGCAACUGACGUUGAGGCCCGAAAGCGUGGGGAGCAAACAGGAUUAGAUACCCCUGUAAUC